ensembl:lncRNA
ACCCACACCACUUCCCAAUAUAUACCCUCACUCGUCAAUUCCAACAAACCGAGUUAACAUAUGUUUGUCUGAAAUACAGGUCGGAACUAUAGCAACAAUUAACUGUCUUAAAACAAAGACUAAUAGCUGAACUGAGGAGAAAUACGCAAUCAACAAAUGACAUUUGCUGACAUCAGUAGGAAGGGUCUGUAACAUAGGCAGAGAUCGAAGGUGGCAAAUUUUUUUGCAAAAUUGGAAAAGAGGAUUCUAAAAAGACAGAGAUGGUAACUUGUAUAAAUAUUCUUUAGUAACAACGAUUGAAUCAGCUACAGCUGUCAUGAAAAGACUGAAAUCCAACAUAUUUCUUUGAUAUUAUAAACUUCCUUUGGUAUAAAUACGAGGUACCUCUGGAUUCAUGAGAGAAUCAUCAUUUGUAGCAGUCUACGUUUUGAAACACAAAGCCAAUUACUGUAGCAGGGGAGAACACAACUCGAGCUGUUAAAGGAUAUUUCCACUAAAUUGUGUCCUAGCAGGAGAUGAAACCUUGACAAAAUUGCAUUAUUUUUUUUCCAGAAUGUUCUAUAAUUUAUUGCACAGCGAUGUAGAAAAGCAACUACUUGUCCAAUACUGGAGAGCAGAGCAAGAAGAGGUUGUAAUGUGGUAAAGCAAAUACUCCCAACAACAUAAGCAAUACUGAAAAUCAGAUCUUCUCAUUCCUUGUCUGUGCUCUUAUUUGAGCAAGAUCACACAACAAAACAAAUGGGCAAGAAAAUAAGUGAUGUUUAUUGUGGCUUCUGUUAGGAAUUACCCUUACCAACUGCCUUUGGUCUGUAGCUGGUCUGGCUGUGGAUCAGGACUGAGCAAAAGAGAGAAUAGCUGAAGCCCUCCAAAGAUGUAAAUGCCAAUGAAGGAGGCACACAUACCGUGUUAUUCAGGGACAAAAUGGACCAUGCGAUGGGGCUUGUUAAGAGCCAGCUGGAGCUGUUCUGAAAGUCCCAUGCUACAACUAAACUUAUCUCAAUACCGCAGGCAAUAGGUGCUUUAGAAUUACUACUGCCAGGCAUAUUCCUCAGCUAAGAGAUCAGGUUUCUGCUUCUGUCCUGGGACUCCAAAUAUAGAAGUCAGUCACCAGUCCAGCGAUCACCUCAAUCGCCUGCAUGCCUUAAAACACUGUGUUUUGUUGUACCAAUUUUCUGUGUUCAGACUUCACAGCCUGAAACUUAGUGUUUCCAAACUCCUAGAAUCGUUAAGGUUGGAAAUGGGAGCUCUGUAACACAUUUAUUGGUCAUGUUUCAGGAAGAACCUGGGUAUUGUCCGUUCAGAUUACUGAAACGAUGACCUAAAAGUUGGACUCAUACUGAUGGCUGAUGUGUAAUGAAAAAAUCUUAUUUAGCUGUCACUGGGACAGUGCAGGGCUGAAGGAAGGGAGCACUCAAAGCAUCUUCCAUUUUUCAGCGAGUGAAAAUGGUGAAGUAGUCAGACUGCUGGACCGCUGCCACAGGGACAGUGAGAGCAGCUUGGAGGUUUUGCCUGGAUGAUGCCAUGUACUGUACGAUGUGCUGCCCACACUGCCUGCUCCCCGACAGUCUGCUCGUUAGGGAGCUAAUGGGAAUGAAUACCGUUUGUUAUCUGUUCUACUGUUCCUGGAGAGCUUCACUCCAAACCAACAAAACCAGAGGCUCACAUUUAUGUGCCUACAACAUUAUUAUUUACGUUUACCUGUGACUGCUCCCACCAAACACAUCCCACAGGUGUCAGCGUUUUAAUCAUGUGGUUCUGUUUACAGCUCUUUUAAUUAAUGUUCACCAAUCCUUUCCAAAAAAUCAGAUAAGUACAGGCACAGAAGGCACCUGCUGGCCCCACUGCUCCCUGCCCCCUUGUCCCAAGAUGGGGACAGCCCAGCGUGCUGCCUGCAUGUGUUGCUGAUCCUGAGGAAUGGGUGUGUUUGCUCUUCUAAAAGAAUAUUUCUUAUUUUCAAGAUGUUCAUCUCCUAAAACUUUUAUGGUCAAAAACCAAUAGGCCGAUUACGCUUCCAUUUGGUAAAUAAGUGUGUUCAUUUUGCUGCAGGUUCAAUUAUCUUUGUGAUGCGCUUCAUUUGCUCUCGCUGAUUAAUCCAUUAUUUUAUUGGAUAUUUAAGACACCCAUAUAAGACAGCUAAGAAGAGGAUCACUGUAAAUAAUUGGUGGCAACAUCUUCAUAUUCAAACUAAUUAACAGAAAUAUGACAUUCAUGUCCUUUGGAAUUUGGCUUGCUUUCAACUUCUCGCUUACACGGUACAAGCAAUCACUAAAAUACACACAGAGAUGCUUUGAGGUUUGUUAGAAACUCACUUUGCCUAUUUUACAUUUACGUAUUGCUUAACAGGAAAUGAUCUCCUCUGAAGCAGAAGCACAGAGGACUCUGCUCCUGAGGAGCAGUGCAUAUCCCAGCCUCACACAGCCGAGAGCUCCGACCGGGGACCGGCACGAUAGCAUCUCGCUGUACAGAUUCUGUAAUUAAUUUUAAUUUCUUUAAUUAAGUAUUUAGUCUUUGGGGAAGGAGUAUGAAAAAGUUGCUUCAUAAGCUGACAAUGGGCAAUUGUUCUAAGUUUCUUAUCCUGCAGGCACGCAGGAUAAUGAGAGCUAUAGAAAUACUUGGACAGAUUGAUUGCAUGGAGCAGAUAGGAAUCCCCUGGCACGGUCCUCUCAUCUGUUUUCAAAGUAGCAGGCACCUCCCAGCUCUUCCAGUGAACAUCACUGUUCCCCCGUGCUGCAAGAAGUUAAACUAGCAUUGUCUGAGUGCAGCUACUGGGGGACAAAUAUGAAAACACUGAAAUGAAAGAAGUACAGAGGGAAAUGGACAAAUGGGACUGAGUUGCCACUCUCUAUUGUGAGCAGGACCAAAAAGCAGUUCACAGUAAAAAUCUGGAGACAUCGGUGAGUUCAGAUUCAAGGGGAGAACUUCAGAGAUUUGUAUCUCUGAAAAUGGCCACUGAUCACAUCCAUUGGACUCCGUGUGUUCAGUGUGGGGGCUGCACUUCAACACUGCAAUUUCUCCACAAAGACAAAUUCUCAUUUGAAACCUUGCAGCGUGGGUAGUUCAAGUGGCUGCUGACUUAACCUCAUCCCUUCAUCAAACAUCACAUCAACAGCCAGCAGAAGUUGGGGAAAUAAUGUUAUCCAAAGUCUGAUAUCAAAACUCCCAAUACUUUACCCAAACACACAUAAAAAUAAAAUGAUAUAAAAGAAAGCCAACAGAUGUAGUGUCAUAUGGACUUGCUUAAUGGCAAUGCUUAGCCUUUCAUAAAAAGGUUUACAUCUACAUUUACUACUAAAACCUGACAUUUGUAUUGAAUAAUUCAUAAUUUGUUGCUUUCUGUGCUUUGUUGCUUUCCUUAUAUGCAUGAACCAAAGUAACGUUAUCUCUGCUCUAAGGGAAGGAGACCAAUCUGUACAUAUACAGAUAUUUUUGUUGUUGUUCUGUAGGGUAUAAAUACGUAUUUAACUGAACCAGUGCUAAAAUUUCAUCUUUGCUUACGACAGAAAUGCUCUGUACAGAUUUAAUUUGCAACGUGACUGUGCUUCCAACUAAUUCUCCCAGGACUCUCCCGAGUAUUUUGGCAACAAUCACAUGUAGUUUGGACACGUGUUCCCAUGCCUACCUGUGCCUCAUUUUAAGACAAACUCAUCCCCCUUCACCCUUAGCACAGCUGCAAAUGAGAUCGCUGCCAGGGCUCUUCGACCAGGGCAGCUUCUCAGCUCCCACUCUGCUCUGACCUCAGCACAGAAAGGAUUUGAAGCACUUGAAGAUACCCUUGGAUUCAGGAUCUACACAGAACCUCAGCAAAGUGAGUGUCUAAGUAGCAGCCAAUGUGCUGUUUUUGUUCCUUUACUAUCCUGUUGUUUCUACUAUCAGCUUUGCAGAUAUUACAGUUGCAAAUACCACCCUUGCCCUUUUAUCCCCUGAAGUUUGUACUUUUUAAAAGCUAAUUUUAAUUCUUAGACAUUAUUGUCUAUUUCAACUCUUCUAUCAUAGCCAAUUUAUCAACCAUAAAGGUGGAGCGAACAUUAUCUUUUUUCUUGAUGCUUCAUCUGCAACUGAGAGAAGCAAAAAGGGUGCUUUGGCUGACCCGCUGCUGCCCUCCCAGGCCAGCUGUCUUCUUCCCUAUUUCUCAAGGAAAAUCUUAACUCACACCAAUGGAUAAAGCAGUGCAGCAUCACUUUUUCUGCUACGGUAGCACAUGCUGUAGUAUAUAACACUUUCCUGCUUCUCUCUAGAUGGGAGUUCCUAGGAGCAAAUUCCUUCCUAAAGUUUGCACAGCAACCUGGGGCAGUCCCUGACUGAUUUGCAAACCUGGAGACAGAGCCCUGUUCUGCAUCCUGCCCUGAAGACUUCACCCAAUGAACCAACAGCCACACACUCAAAGCACGGGUUUAUGAGGUUCCUGGUAACCCAUAUGGGUUUGUGAGCCCACACCUGGCUGGUUUCCUGCUUGAAUCCCCUCACACACCUAGCGCUUGCCACCUGCACUGGAGUUCUGCUCUCUUCUGCAGUAACUGCCUUCCUCUGGGCUGGAACCCGAAAGAAGACCUUGUGAAACCAGUCACCAUUUCUGGGGGUAAAUGUUCUCUUUUUUUCCCUCAGAAGCAGAGAGGAACUUCCAGGACUGGUCACAGAUCAUUUUCAAGCCUGCAGCAGAGGUUGGUGGGACUUUCCAGGUACCACAUGGGCAACAUGUGGCAGCAGCACUGACAGUGUGGCAGCACACAGCUCCAGGUCUGACCUCUGCAUCUGAGCCUGGAGCACGUACGUGAUGGCUCUCUGCUUUCCCCCCCAGCCCCAGCCCCCAGCACACACUGCUGCUGGCUGCCACAUUGCGGCUGCCCCACCGUUGGCUUUUUGGAAGCCUUGAGUGUUCUCCCAGAGCUUUCUGGACAUCGGUUUGAACUGAGCUUGCAGCGAAUUUGGAGCUAAGUUACCUGUUUACGUGUUUUGGGCUUUGUAAAUCAGCGCUGAACUGAAGGCACUCCAUUACUGGGUUCUCGGGGCAUCCUGCAACGUGAGGGCUUGCUGCCGGUGCUGCUGCUGGCACUGCCACAAACCACAGUGAGGGGCCUGGAGGCCGUGUCCUGGUGUGGCUCCGUGCCCGGGUUCCACCAGCUAAAGCCUCAGCAGUCGCCAGCUCCCAACUUACCUGCAGAUGCUACCCGCGCCUGCGGGGUCAAACUAAGGGCAGGACCCAGGCUUGUGGGCUGAGCUGCAAACUCGCUCGGCUUCGGUGCCUUUAAUUCAACGUUAUCACUGUUGGUUGCUAUUAAAUUUGAGAGCGGUGCCCACGGCCCGAUUUAAGCCUGGGCGUCCCAUCGUGCUUGGCGUUUUGCAAUGAGAGGAGACAGUCCCUGCCCCGAAGAGAACAUCACAGGAACUUUUUUUUCUGGUGAUUUAAUCAUAAUAUUGACAACUUUAUCAAAAAUUACAAAACUGAUAUUAAAAAAAUUUCUAAUUCUUAGUAAGACUAGAAUGGGUUUCUUUUUUUAAAAAUAGAAAAGCACUUUUAUGCUACUGCUCUUCUGGAAUUCUCACAUUACAACCCUACAUAGCAAAAUACAAAUGUAGCUAAGAAAGGUAGCAGGCCUAAGGUACUUCAGUCCACCACGAGCCCUCUAACAACUUCUAUAUACCAUCAAACUCAGGGACUCCGAAAGGGUAUCACAGUACUUAGAAACCUUCUGCAAAACUCAGUUAGGAAAUACCUGGAAAUGUUACGUUCCUUCUAACCCCGAAAUCCUUAGACUGGGAGUAUGAGACCUGGGACGGCAGAGGUGGGAAGUAUCACCGGUUUCUUCCCUCUGUGAAUAUUACUUUUGCAGCUGAUUCCAGCAAAACAUUCUCUGCAAGAAGUGAAAAUACGAAGAAAAUCCAUCGAAACAAACGAAAAAUAAUUGUCUUUUUCUUUUUCUUUUUCUUUUUUUUUUAUGGUGUUCACAAAACGCACCAUAACACAGAGAGGAAUAUCUCCUCUCAUCGGGACGCCCCGACCGCGCCGGCACCGCGCAGCGGAGGAGCAAUAAAUAAAUAAAUAGUGGGAGCUCAUCGCUGGAGCCACGGCGCCGCGGGGCGCUUCUGUGCCACUGUGCCACGGACGGACAAAAGCCUCCUUCCACUUCCCACAAUGGAGCAUUCUUACUUUUUUUUUUUCUUUUUCUUUUUUUUUUGUUUUUUGUUUUUUCACCGUUUAAAUAUAGGAAUUCUCUCUUAAAUUAGAAAGUAGGCAAAAAGUAUUAUUAUUAUUAUUAUUUUUUAAAGUUUCAUUUUUAAGUCUUCUGUUAGAAAAAAUAGAGAUUUAUUAAACAAAAAAUAAUAAGGUAGAAAGAAGGGUUGGGCCUCCAUCAAAAAAGUAUAUUAUGCUUUAAUGCAAAGAGAAAGAAAUGGCUCUAUGGGCAAAAUUCAAGUAUGAGUGACCAGUUUUUUAAUCGCAAAGUAGGUGCAACAUUUCUUAAAAUGUUACAACACCGCAUGACCUGUAAUGCUCACAAUAUUUACAUUAACUGCUUACAUGAAACCGUAAAAACUCUAAGAGAGAAAAAAAAUGGUAUGGACUGAAACAAACUACUCCUAGCACCCACAUCAAUGCCAUUAUUAACCAAUGAAAUCAAGUGCACAAAAAUACUUUACAUAGCCUACUGAUGUAAAGUAUACAUUGGUGAGGAAGUACAAACCUAAGGAGUCAGAUGCCAAAAGAAGGUUGCUCGAUACAAACUCCACUCGAGGACAGAAAGCAAAGGCAGAACCCAACCGAACGGACCCAGGCACGCACGCAGGCACGCGGACACCCGCGGCGUGGCCGUCCGACACAGGCGGGACACGCGGCAGCAAAGCGGGCUGCGAUGGGAAUGGACAACGUCAACUCUCGGAACAUAACGAACACAUCAACUCGGAACAUAAAAAUGCCAACUAAGCUACACAAAAAAAUCACUCCACAUGAGUUUGCAUGUAGGACCGUGGCGUUGCACACGUGACGAAUGAACCUACCCCGCGGAAGGAAGGGCUCCUGCUCCAGGCCCCUGUAGCCAGUGUAGCUAUUGCGAUCCCUCGGGCUGGGGAAGGAGGAGAAAGAGCUGUUUGGUGAGACACGAGGAAGCAGAGAGCCCGGAGGGAGUGCUCUGCGCUGGAGCCCUGGGGGCUGGGUCCUCAGGGCCAGCUGGCCUCUGCCACGGGCUGCGUGCAGG